rnacentral:lncRNA from 10 species
UUGAGACCCAGCGUCUCUAGAUCUCGUAUUUGAAUUUGUGGCGCUUGGUGUCCGCGAGUUGCCGAAUGAAGCUGAGCGUCUCAGUGGAACCAGGGAUCUCAGGGAGGGGAAGGUAUAAAAUUUUCAAAUGGAGGAGUAUACCUGAACCUAAUCAUGGAUGUGAUUUUAUGUAAGUAAUAUGUGAGAUACAGAUAAGCUGAUUCUAAAACUUACAAGAAUGGCAAAGAAACAAGAAGAGCUUAAACUGCAAUCAUCAACAGAGAAGCUUUCUGCAACCAAAGUGAAGACUGAAGCCUUAGGCUAUGGCAGAAGUUGGGCGCCUGAAGUACACGUGGAAAUAUGCCAACUGAACAUUGGACUACCACCGCCUGCCCCUGGCUCAGCGCCCGGUGCCAACAGAACACCUUUCAGGAUCCACAGCAACGCAGACAACGAGUCCAGAAUCCCGGCCUCUGCUUGGAACGGAACAGUGU